AAGAACGACUCUCGGCAACGGAUAUCUCGGCUCUUGCAUCGAUGAAGAACGUAGCGAAAUGCGAUACUUGGUGUGAAUUGCAGAAUCCCGUGAACCAUCGAGUCUUUGAACGCAAGUUGCGCCCGGAGCCAUUAGGCCGAGGGCACGCCUGCCUGGGUGUCACAC
rnacentral:rRNA from 1 species